rnacentral:rRNA from 1 species
AAUCAACGUUGGCGGCGCGCCUAACACAUGCAAGUCGAACGAGAAAGUGGAGCAAUCCAUGAGUAAAGUGGCGUACGGGUGAGUAACACGUGGGUAAUCUGCCUGUUAGUGGGGAAUAACCCUGGGAAACCGGGGCUAAUACCGCAUAAGUUCGUAAGAAGAAAGUCGCAAGACGCUGACAGAGGAGCCCGCGGCCGAUUAGCUAGUUGGCAGGGUAAAAGCCUACCAAGGCGACGAUCGGUAGCCGGCCUGAGAGGGCACACGGCCACACUGGCACUGAAACACGGGCCAGACUCCUACGGGAGGCAGCAGUGGGGAAUCUUGCACAAUGGGGGAAACCCUGAUGCAGCGACGCCGCGUGAGUGAUGAAGCCCUUCGGGGUGUAAAGCUCUUUCGACGGGAACGAUUAUGACGGUA